rnacentral:lncRNA from 10 species
CGCCCUGUUGGCCAGGCUGGUCUCGAAUAUCUGACCUCAGGUGAUCCACCGACCUCAGCCUCCCAAAAUGCUGGGAUUACAAGUGUGAGCCACCGCGCCCGGCCAGGAACAGACAUUCUAAGUCCGAGCAACUCAUGUACAUAGAGAGCUAUGGUGAACUCUCCUUGAAUUUAAAAAUAAGACUAUUCUCUGUGAUUUAAACUGGUAAAAACCAUUUGGAAUGGACAAGAUCAGUUAUCUGAAGAUGCCUCCCUAAGGAGAAAAGAUCUAAAAUAUAGACAUAUAUACAUACAUGUAUAUAUACAUACACACAUAUAUAUGUAUAUACAUACAUGUAUAUGUCAGAAAAAAUGUUAACAAAAGUAGAAGUUCUGCUUAAAGUCUUUAUUAAAAGGAAUUAAGACAGAAUAUUGCUAUAAGGAUAGACAUACAAAUCAAUGGUAUAGAAUUGAAUCCAUAGAGAGACCCACAUUUAUAUGAUCAACUCAUUUCCAGCAAAAGUGUUAAGAUAACUCAUCAGGGGAAAGGAUUGUUUUUCAACAGACAGUGCUGGAACAACUAGGUAUCCAUAUGGAAAAAAGUGAACCUUACUCUUCCCUUUUACCAUAUGCAAAAAAACUCAAAAAGUAUAAGAGCUAAACCAAGUAAUUGAUAGAAAAAAAUAUAAGAAAAUCUUUGUGACCUCUGAAAGAUAAUGGUCUCUUAGAGAACAAACAAGCAUGAACCAUUACACAAAGGAGAAAUUGGACUUUAAAAAUAAAAACUUCUGGUCUUUGAUAGACACUAUUAGGAAAAUGAAAAUGCAAAACACAGACUAGGAGAAUGAAAAGAAAAAAACAACAAAAUCACCAAAGUUCUACCCAGAAUAUAUAAAAAUGCUUAUAAUUUAAUAAGAACACAACUUAAUUUAAAAUAUGCUGGAAGACUUGAACAAUGUUAAGGACAACUAAAAUUAAAAAGACUGAUAAUACCAAGUGUUGCUAAAGACACAGGGCAACUGGAAUGCAUAUAUAUUGCUAAUAGGAAAUGUAAAAUGAUAAAUCACUUUGAAAAGUCUUUUGGCAGUUGCUUAUAAACAUAUGCGUACCAUUAUGAUCUAGCAAUUCCACUCUUCAGAAUUUAUCCAAGGGAAACCAAAAGGAAAUGUCUAAACAAAGACUUGCAUACAAGUCUUCACAGAUUUAAAAGAGCCAGAAAUCGGAAAUAGGUCACACGUACAACAAGUGAAUGGAUAGAUUAUCAUCUAUUCAUGCAAUGGAAUUGUUCUCAGCCAUAAACAGAAAUGGAACUAGUGACAUCCACAGCAUGGAUGAAUCUCAAAAAUAUUACAUUGAGUGAAAGAACUCUGGAGCAUUCAGUGGAAUACUCAAGUCACUAAUACCUUCAACAUAUGUUAGGAGCCAAGACAUACUGUUUCUAGUUGACAAUCCCAAAAAUAAAAAGGUAUGAAAAUAUAACCUAAAGCUACAAAGGUAAACGUUAAGGGAAUAAAAAAUAAAAUAACCCUCAGGGAGGAGAAGAAAAGUGAUGUAAGAAUGGUAUACCUAAGCUACAUCCUCAUGUAUGUUAAAAGGAAGUCAACAUGUCUAAAGAAAAUAAGAAAUAGCCAUUAACCAUACUGUUUUGAGAUGUGGAAGUAACCACCAGAGAGAACAGUCCUGAAAAUUAGAAGUGUUCCUUUGAAAAGUAGAUUGCAGAUAGGAAAGACUAGAGCAGGGGCAAAUUUACAUUAUAAUGCUUUCUGUUAUUUUGUGUCUCCAUUGUUCUGAUACAAAUACAAAGAUUAAAACAAAAGUGAUCCUGGAGAAAUAUAAAUUGAUUAACUGACACAAGAAGGCAUCUGUUGGUUUAGAAGUCUUCCACAGGCAGGAAGUGGGCAGGGUUGUCUGAUGGCUAUGUCACAUUUAUCAACUCGCAGAGGUUCUCACCAGUAUAAUUGCUACUGAUAAAAGAAUUUGAUCAGCAUGGCUAGUCUUACAGUGCAUUCUUUGAAAAAGAAGAAAUACUGCCUAAGACUGUAACACAACAAUUUGCUAAUGAGAAGUUUCACUAAUGAGAGAGGUCUAUGUGAAAUCCAGCUUUCUGGAGCUAGUCAUCCUUUUUUCCUCCUCUCUUUAAGCAAGGAGUAUGACUCAAGCAUUGAGGGUUGUAUCUGGCAGAAGUCCUGUUAAUUUAGGAUAAUUAAAUAUGCCAGUCAUGUGUUUCAGUAAUGUCUGAUUAAAUACUUUAGAGAAGUCAUUAAUGAAUCCAUCUGGUCUAGUGGCUUUGCCAGAUGGCAAAAUGUUACUACCUCUAUCUGUACUGCUCCUGGAGCAUUCUACCUUUCUUGUAGUGUAGCACACAGUCAUUUUCAGGGUAAGUCUUAAUUUGCUAGUUUAUACUAUCAAGGGAUUUGGAAGGUAGAAUGCAAGCCUAAUAUUACACCACACCAACUGAGCCACAAGAUUAAGGCUGCAUUAAAUGGCCUAUCAUUCUACUGUUGAAUUCAAUGUGAUUUCAUCAUUUCCAUUUCCUCAGAAUGUUCUGUCAAACAUCUCAGAUGGUGCCCGGUCCGUGAGUGGAGAGUCAGCACCACAGGGAGAGGUGACCAGCUGUAUUUCACACACACAGGAGCUAACACUCUAAGAGGAGGAGAAUUUCAAUUGUUUCAAAACUGAAAUCCUGGAAGUAUUUUCUCCAUGUGGCUCGUCACUUAAAAACAAAACUGGCCACUUAUUUAAGUAUAGAGUUGCACAGCCUUGUGAAAGGUGCAUUAAAAUGGCAGUCUUCAAGCCGUUUUGAUACCUUAAUCAUGCAGAGUUCAUCUUUAACUUAACAAUUCCCUCACCAGCUUGGUCAAAAUGCAAGGCGUUCUCCAAAGCAUUGACAAUGGCAACUUUAAGAUAAUCACUUCACUAAUUGGUACCUAAGGCAAAGGCUUAAAUAGAAGUGACAACAAACAAAAGGGGCUUGGAGCUGCUAGAGGAGGGUCUAGGGUGGCUUGACGAAGGUAUGAGGCAAAGAUACAGCCGAGAAAAAAGCCCAAUGAUUUAUUACCACUGUCAACCCCUUACCCCUCAAUUGCAUUGACUCCUCUAGCUGACAAAUAGGGCUAAAUUGAGGUCCUAUUCUUUUCUAAGGAAGCCAAGUUUGACUAAUUGACCAGUUUAGUUGGCUUUGAUCAUUUAUGUUCAUGAAACUUGCUUCCAAGGGCACUUCCUGGCCAUACAGAAACUACAGACACCACACUAUGGCAGCUCACACGGAGCUCUGGCUUUUGUUUUGCUCUUGUGGUUAAGAACAACUCCCUUCCCCUUCAGUUUCAUCUUUUUCCUCUCCCUUCUGUUCUCUUUCCAAGUUUUUUCUCUUUCAAUGAGGAUCAUAUGUAAUAUUUCAUCCAGCAAGUUGGUGUUUGGAGGAGUAAGUGGGCAGGAAAGAGGGGACCUGUUUCACCCCAGUCUCCCAAGUUCCCAGAACUGGAAACCCAUCGUUGACUCUUGCCCACUACUCUCAAUUCUGCGCAGUUUGGAUUCAGUCACUGUGGAACUAUCACAGAACUUGGUGUAAGUGACUAAUUAAAACCUUUUUAAGAUUCCAUGUGUAAGAGUGUGUCUCUCUACUGAGUUGAGAACAUGCUGUAGUUUUCAUCUGCCAAAUGGGGUAAAUGGGAACGCUCAGCACAGGGUGUGAGACACAGUGGGCACUCAAAUAGUAGCCAUAAGUAAAGUAACAUGGCCUUUUAUCAGAGCAACUAAAUUAUUAUUAUUAUUGGUAGUAGUAGUAGUAGCAGUAGUAGUAGUAGUAGUAGUAGUAGUAGUAGUAGUAGUAGUAGUAGUAUGAGACAGGGUCUCACUCUGUUGCCCAGGCUGAAGUGCAGUGGCAUGAUGACAGCCUCGACCUUCCCAGGGCUCAGUGAUCCUCCCAUCUCAGCCUCUCGAGUAGCUGGGACCAUAGGCACAUGCCACUAUGUCUGGCUAAUUUUUUUAUUUUUUUGUAGAGAUGGGGUUUGACCAUGUUGACCAGGCUUGUCUCAAACUCCUGGGCUCAAGCGAUCUGCCCGCCUCAGCCUCCCAAAGUGCUGGGCUUAGAGGCGUGAGUCACUGCACCCUGCCUACUAAAAUUAUUACCAAGUUAAAAAAAUUCAAACUCUUAGAAGUACGAGUUCAACAGAAAUGGUUUCAUGGGGAAACGGAUUCAUCCAUAUUCUAUUAUUUCACAAAGAAAGACAAGCACGCCCUCCUCAGAGCUGGCGCAAGCAAUCCCAGACAUCACACUGGAGAGUCAAGCAUGAAUAAACUCCUACUUUGACACGAGUAUCCCUCCAGAGAUGGUUAAUUCAUGUAAGCAUCACUUCAGGCCAAGGCUGACCCAGCCCACUUUUCAUUACUUCAUAUUCUCAGACACGUCAUAGGAAGAAAUUUUCAAUUCCAAUGAGAAACCUUUUUUUUUUUUUUUCUUUUGAGACAGAGUCUCGCUCUGUAGCCCAGGCUGGAAUGCAGUGGUGAGAUCUCGGCUCACUGCAAGCUCCACCUCCCGGAUUCACUCUCCUGCCCCAGCCUCCCGAGGAUCUGGGACUACAGGCGCCCACCACCAUGCCCGGCUGAUUUUUUGUAUUUUUAGUAGAGACGGGGUUUCACUGUAUUAGCCAGGAUGGUCUCAAUCUCCUGACCUCAUGAUCAGCCCGCCUCAGCCUCCCAAAAUGCUGGGAUUACAGAGGUGAGCCACUGCACCCGGCCUCAAUGAGCGACUUUUAAAGAACAGAAUUUAAUGUCCAGGGCUAAGAAAAUUCAAGGAAACAGAUAACAUGAAGGGUAACUUUAUUCUAGCUCCUUGACCCCUAAUGAAAUUGGAGUCUGCCAUUUACCAGCUCCUGUUCCAGAGACGUCACAUGUUAGAUCAAAUUUAAUCCCCAAUAAGAGUCUACCUGGGCUGGAGUUGAGGAUCCUACAUGUCUAUUAUACAGAGUAUCUUCCAGAAGCUAUUUAUUGGAAUAAAACCAAAGUGCUGAAGGAAUUAAGCAGAGACAGAACACAUGAAAGAGAAAGGAUAACAGAUGAUGGAUAUAAGAAAGAAUAAAAAGCAAAAAGAUAGCAAACCUGCCUCAUUUUAUUAAGAAAUAUGCCAGAGAGAAGAGGGCAGCCCGCCUUGCAGGCCAACAGGAAGCGGGAGCCAUCUGGAACCUAUGUGCUCAACCAACAAACAUACUGCGGCUCACGGAGGUUAAGGAACUUGCCCAGGCCACACAGCUGAAAUAAAUGCCAAGAAUAAAGACAUUUCCUAGCUUCCCUUGGAGUCUGCUGGGUGUGGCCAUUCAACCAUGCUCUGGCCCCUGGGAUGAAAAUGGAAGUCAUGUGUGCAACUUCCAGGAAGUGUUCUUAGCAGUGCCCCUCUUUCUCCUCCUGCUGGCUGGAAUGCAGACAUGAAGGCUGGAGUGGGAGCAGCCACUUCUUGAGGACAGCAAAGGAACAAGAAAAAAGGAGGCCCUGUGCCAGUCAUCAAAUCGAAUUGAUGUACAUGGUACAACCAUUCACCAACAUGAAGAUGAUUACUACAUCCACAAAAGUGUGACUGUGGGUAGGAAAGGGCCCUGGGGCAAUUCAACACAGAGGACAAGCAGAGAAGCAUUCAGCAGAGGAUACUAAGAAGGCAGCACUGGAAAGUGGGGAGAAGCUGGAAAAGCGUGCAGUCACAGGAAUAAGGGGAAGAACAUAUUCUGAGAAGGAAGGAACGAUCAACUGUAUCAACUAACGACAGAGAUGUGAUUACCCCUAGAUUUGUGAACAUGGAGGUCAUAAAUGGCAUAAACAAAAGCUGAUUUUGUGGAAUGGUGGCAAGAGAAGCCCAGCUGGAGGCAACUGAGAAGAGACUAGGAAGUGAGAAGUGGAAAGAACAGACACUAGAUGAUUAUGGAAUUAAGAAACUUAGUCUGAUGUUGGGUGCUAACAAGUCUCCCUAAGAAAUACUGUGGUUUCUCUAUUACAGAAGCCAAAGGGCAAGAGGCGAUCAACCAUCAGUUCAUUUAAGGUCAAUGACCAAAUGCAGUAGAGUUCACAGCUAUAUCAUCCCACAGGAAUGAGGAACCAUGGAACAGAACUGGAAAGCAAGUGGUCCCAAGUGUGCUGGUGUCAACUUUUAGAGUGACCAAAUGUCCAACGGUCCCAGCUUACACCUGUUGUCCCAGUGUAAUUAUUAAGGACUCUCAAAAUGUCCCAGUUUGGAUGAUAAAUUAUAUCCUUAUACUAUUUAUAGUUCACCAUCUCCUUAUCCAACACUGAACAAGCUCUACAUGACUUAGGUUAAGCAAGAUCACUAUUUAAGUUAGAAAACUGCCCAAGACUGGCCCAUGGCAAGAAGCUCAGGACAAAUAUUUGAGUAUACUGAUAGACUAUCAAUUUUACUGAAAAAUAUUAAAGGGCUUCUUCAUAUCAGUCCACAGAAUGCAAAAUUAUCUGCAUUCAGUCAAGUCUAAAAUUCUAAAUUACAAUAAUAUAAUAUAAUAGUGGGAUACUUAGAAAAAGGCCUACAAAGAUCUAUAUAAAAUUUAUAGUGGCUUUCCAGAGUCCGAGAGGAGGAGAAAACUGGGAGGAAUUGGUCAAAGGGUACAAAGUUUAAGUUUCAGUUAUGCAAGAUUAACAAGUCCUACGGAUCUACUGGACAGGAUAGUACCUAGAGUUAACAACACUGUAUCACACACUUAAAAGUUCACAAAGAGAUCUUAUGUGAAAUGUUCUAAUCACCAUCAUAAAGAGGGCAGAAGAAAACUCUUGGACGUCAUGAGUAUGUUUAUGGCAUACAUUGUGGUGAUGGUUUCACAGGCCUCUACUCACCUCCAAACUCAUCAAGUUGUACACUUUAAAUACAUACAGCUUUUUGAAUGUCAAUAACACCUCAAUAAAGUAUAUAAAAUUUUGCUUAUACUGGCUGCCGUAGGAGAGUGAGAGUUGGGGUGGCUGGGGGUGAGGAUAUUUUAAAUGUAUAUGCUUCAGUAGUUUUCAAUGUCUUACAGUGAGCAUGUAUUACUUUUGUACUACAAUUUUUAAAAAUGUACUUAAACAUACCCAUCCAUUCUCAAAAAUAAGAACCCAUCAUAGAUCAGGUGCAUGGUAUUAAAAUCUGCUUCUCUAGGGCUUGUCCCUGUAGCACUCAAAUUGUUGGCUCUGAUGGAUAAAUUGAAGUGAAACCAGAUGUCCUCUGCUGCAUCCCUAUGGCAAUAUUCUAGCCUAGAAUUAUAGUGAAGUCUUCUGACAUCACUACUAAUUCAUCAAAGCUUCCAGACAACCCACCAGGUGCACACUGCAGCCAGACUGGCUCAUAUAAAUCUUUGCCAGUUUAUUUUAAAUGUCCUGUCAGAUUCGGGUAUCUCAACCAGCUUAUCUGUACAUUGUAUUUUGAUUAAUCAAAAUAAGUCAUUUCCCAGCUUCUUGGAUAGUGUGGUUCUUAACUACCCAGCUUUCCACUGAAAGCUGAAACUCAUACAGACAAAAUCUUAUGCAAAGUCAUCAUUAUCCACAUGUGUUGGCACUAUGCAGACAUGAACAUGAGAAGUAUUUCAAUUAGAACCUAUAAAUCAUAGAUUGGGAUUUACAAUGUCUUGUAUAAUUGUUACUUAUAUAGAAGCCAAAAUCCCAUUUAUUUUCUAAAAAAAAAACUUUGAGUAGAAAAUUUAUAUAUAUUUAACUAUUAAACAGAAAAGUUUUAGAACUUUAAGAUGUAAAGCUUCAGAGAUGUUGUAAUCUGUCUUC